GAUGAACGCUAGCUACAGGCUUAACACAUGCAAGUCGAGGGGUAGCAGGGUAGCAAUACCGCUGACGACCGGCGCACGGGUGAGUAACACGUAUCCAACCUUCCCAUAACUCGGGGAUAGCCUUUCGAAAGAAAGAUUAAUACCCGAUAGUACUUUUUCAAGGCAUCUUGAGAAAGUUAAAGAUUUAUUGGUUAUGGAUGGGGAUGCGUUCCAUUAGAUAGUUGGUGAGGUAACGGCUCACCAAGUCUUCGAUGGCUAGGGGUGCUGAGAGGAAGGUCCCCCCCAUUGGUGCGGAGACACGGACCGAACUCCUACAGGCGGCAGCAGUGAGGAAUGUUGGUCAAUGGGCGAGAGCCUGAACCAGCCAAGUAGCGUGAAGGAUGGAGGUCCUAUGGAUUGUAAACUUCUUUUAUAGUAGAAUAAAGUGAUCCACGUGUGGAUUUUUGUAUGUAUACUAUGAAUAAGGAUCGGCUAACUCCGUGCCAGCCGCCGCCGUAA
rnacentral:rRNA from 1 species